ensembl:lncRNA
CUUUGUUAAGCUCUUAACCUCCUACAAAGCUCCAGCAAUUUAAUCACGUUGAGAAAGCCUUUUCAGUUGGAAAGCCAAUGACAAGCAACGGCACACAGCAAAAUGCACGAAGGACAAAUCCAGCACCCUUUGAAAUCAACCCCUCGGAAAGAAGAAUUAGCAACCUGGACAGAGCUGCAGGCAACUCCAGCCCUCCUGCAUCUGCUGCUCGAUCACACUCACUCACAGCCAGCUCUGGUCCUUCCUCACCACACUGCAGAAAUCCUAGGAGAGCUGCAUAUCUAACAUCUCAGACAAACACAGACAAUGACCAGAAAAUUAAAACUGCCAGGAAUAAAAGAUAACACAAAGAGAGCCCUGAAGAAACUGCACCUCCCACGUCCCCCUGCCAUGACGGCCAGCAGCGGUGCAGCAGUGCACGCUGACUCCAGCUGUGCAGCGGGGCUGAGGAGCCCAGCACCACCCCAG